GACGAACGCUGGCGGCGUGCUUAACACAUGCAAGUCGAACGGAAAGGCCUGCUUUCCCUUGUGGAUUGCGGGUACUCGAGUGGCGAACGGGCGAGUAACACGUGAGUGAUCUGCCCCCAACUUGGGUAUAAGCCUGGGAAACUGGGUCUAAUUCCCGAUAGGACUGCAGGGUGGUGCCUGUGGUGGAAAACGAUUUUCUAGUGGUUGGGGAUGAGCUCGCGGCCUAUCAGCUUGUUGGUGGGGUAAUGGCCUACCAAGGCGGCGACGGGUAGCCGGCCUGAGAGGGCGGACGGCCACAUUGGGACUGAGAUACGGCCCAGACUCCUACGGGAGGCAGCAGUGGGGAAUAUUGCACAAUGGGCGGAAGCCUGAUGCAGCGACGCCGCGUGGGGGAUGACGGCCUUCGGGUUGUAAACUCCUUUCGACCGCGAGGAAGCCACCUGGUUGGAAGGGUGGUGACGGUAGUGGUAGAAGAAGCACCGGCUAACUACGUG
rnacentral:rRNA from 1 species